GAUGAACGCUAGCGGCAGGCUUAAUACAUGCAAGUUGAGGGGCAGCAUGAUAUACGCAAGUAUAUUGAUGGCGACCGGCGGACGGGUGAGUAAAAGGUAGGAGACCUACCUCAUACAGGGGGAUAGCAUAGAGAAAUCUGUGGUAAUACCCCAUGAGGUUAUAUGAAUAGAGGCAUAUAAUCAAAGUAUACGAGAGUAUGCGGUAUGAGAUGGGCCUACUGACCAUUAGCUAGUUGGUGAGGUAAGGGCUCACCAAGGCGAAGAUGGUUAGGGGUUUUGAGAGAGAGAUCCCCCACAUUGGAACUGAGAUACGGUCCAGACUCCUACGGGAGGCAGCAGUAGGGAAUAUUGGGCAAUGGGCGAAAGCCUGACCCAGCCAUGCCGCGUGAAGGAAGACGGCCUUAUGGGUUGUAAACUUCUUUACUAUACGAAUAGAGGUUAGUACGAGUUACUAAUAGGAAGGUAGUAUAGCAAAAGCACCGGCUAACUCCGUAG
rnacentral:rRNA from 1 species